UGAUGAUAAUUGUGGAUAUUGAUAUUAUGAGUCUAUUAUAGCUGCUAUUAUUGUUGUUCACAGGAUUGUGGGAAAAAAAGCAGAUCCCGUUUCUAUAAAAAGGAACCCCUUUUCAUUGUACUGAGAAAAAUGCCCACCUAAAGCUCAGUGUCCCAGAAGAAGAAUCUCACGGAAAAGAAAAAGGUCAAAAAAUGAUGCAGAGAAAAAGAUCAGGGGGCCAUAACAAGAAGGGAGCAGCACUGCUUGGGGAACCAGCAUUUAACACAUUGUUUGUUUUCGAUCCUUAAUACGAGCAGACAACAACUACUGUAGCAAAUUCAAAUCGAUUCAACAAAGCACCGAGAAGAAUCAACAAGGGAGGAGGAGGAGCAGCAGCAGUGUCAGUGGAAAGGGAUUGAAAAAGAUCAAAGCUUUUCGUUCGCUGGAAGCAUGUAAAAGCUCCAGAAAUGCCGAGACAACCAAAGCGACAGCUCAGAAAGAAAUCUGGCAGAAGUACAAGAAUGAUGGAACGAUCGAACCUAACGUACCUCGAAAAUCCGGGACAUCGUCGAAAUCCG